CAGGAUGAACGCUGGCGGCGUGCUUAACACAUGCAAGUUGCGCGGUGAUCUCAAGAAGUUUCGGACGGAAAGGGAGAGCAGCAGCGGACGGGUGAGUAAAGCACAAGGACUUGUCCCGAAGAGGGGGACAACUGUGGGAAACCACAGCUAAUACCCCAUAAGCCGAGAGGUGAAAGCAGCGAUGCGCUUUAGGAGAGACUUGUGUCCUAUCAGGUAGUUGGUGAGGUAACGGCUCACCAAGCCGAAGACGGGUAGCCGGACUGAGAGGUUGUACGGCCACAUUGGAACUGAGAGACGGUCCAGACUCCUACGGGAGGCAGCAGUGGGGAAUAUUGGGCAAUGGGGGGCCAACCCUGACCCAGCGACGCCGCGUGAGGGAAGACAGCCUUCGGGUUGUAAACCUCUGUUGCAGGGGAAGAAGAAAGUGACGGUACCCUGCGAGGAAGCUCCGGCAAACUACGUGCCAGCCGCCGC
rnacentral:rRNA from 1 species